rnacentral:lncRNA from 1 species
GGAAAGCCAGCUGCCAUCAGGUGGGGACACUAGAGCAGCCCCAGGGAGCUCCCAUAUGGCAAGGAACUGAGACCUGCUGCCAACACCCAGGACCAAUUUGCCAUCCAUGAGAGUGGGCCGUCUCGAAAGUGGGAGAAUGUUGUCAGUGUUUCAGCCAGUGCUUGCUGCUGAGGCAGGAGAGAAUAAUUGUGUAAAGAGGGGGCUCCCGCAGUGCAGGACAGGAAGCCACCAUGUGAGCACCACAUCCACGUGCAGGUCGCAGGCUUCAUCAUGUCCUGAAUACCAUGCCUUAGCAUUUUAUGAGAGUGAGCCAGCCUCAUGUUCUAGAAGAACAUCCAGGUUCCAGGC